UGAGUGGUGCAUGGCCGUUCUUAGUUCGUGGUGUUAAUUGUCUACUUAAUUGUUUCGAUUUUUAGUCUCGCGGCUAAGAACUAUAUAACGAACGAGAUCGAGACCCGUGGUUUGAAUUCGGUAUAUCUACGGGGAUCGCGUAAUAUUCAACGGUACGAUCGAAAGACUCGGCAAUAACAGGUCUGUGAUGCCCUCAGAUGUUCUAGGCUGCACACGUGCUACAUUGUGAGUUGUAGUAUAUUGUGUAUGCGUAGAUAUGUCUAAGAUCCCCCGCAUCGAGUCUCAAUUACUCACGUGGUUGGACUCACCGAUUGUUGUAAUUAUUCGGUAUACUAACUAGGAAUGCCUCGUACCGGGUCGGUUCAACGAGACCCCCUGGAAUCCGUCCCUGCCCUUUGUACACACCGCCCGUCGCUCUUACCGAUGGCCGUGGUUAUUAGUUUAGUUGAGUCUCAUCGCGAGGUGAA
rnacentral:rRNA from 1 species